GUUAAGCGACUAAGCGUACACGGUGGAUGCCCUGGCAGUCAGAGGCGAUGAAGGACGUGCUAAUCUGCGAUAAGCGUCGGUAAGGUGAUAUGAACCGUUAUAACCGGCGAUUUCCGAAUGGGGAAACCCAGUGUGUUUCGACACACUAUCAUUAACUGAAUCCAUAGGUUAAUGAGGCGAACCGGGGGAACUGAAACAUCUAAGUACCCCGAGGAAAAGAAAUCAACCGAGAUUCCCCCAGUAGCGGCGAGCGAACGGGGAGCAGCCCAGAGCCUGAAUCAGUGUGUGUGUUAGUGGAAGCGUCUGGAAAGGCGCGCGAUACAGGGUGACAGCCCCGUACACAAAAAUGCACAUGCUGUGAGCUCGAUGAGUAGGGCGGGACACGUGGUAUCCUGUCUGAAUAUGGGGGGACCAUCCUCCAAGGCUAAAUACUCCUGACUGACCGAUAGUGAACCAGUACCGUGAGGGAAAGGCGAAAAGAACCCCGGCGAGGGGAGUGAAAAAGAACCUGAAACCGUGUACGUACAAGCAGUGGGAGCACGCUUAGGCGUGUGACUGCGUACCUUUUGUAUAAUGGGUCAGCGACUUAUAUUCUGUAGCAAGGUUAACCGAAUAGGGGAGCCGAAGGGAAACCGAGUCUUAACUGGGCGUUAAGUUGCAGGGUAUAGACCCGAAACCCGGUGAUCUAGCCAUGGGCAGGUUGAAGGUUGGGUAACACUAACUGGAGGACCGAACCGACUAAUGUUGAAAAAUUAGCGGAUGACUUGUGGCUGGGGGUGAAAGGCCAAUCAAACCGGGAGAUAGCUGGUUCUCCCCGAAAGCUAUUUAGGUAGCGCCUCGUGAAUUCAUCUCCGGGGGUAGAGCACUGUUUCGGCAAGGGGGUCAUCCCGACUUACCAACCCGAUGCAAACUGCGAAUACCGGAGAAUGUUAUCACGGGAGACACACGGCGGGUGCUAACGUCCGUCGUGAAGAGGGAAACAACCCAGACCGCCAGCUAAGGUCCCAAAGUCAUGGUUAAGUGGGAAACGAUGUGGGAAGGCCCAGACAGCCAGGAUGUUGGCUUAGAAGCAGCCAUCAUUUAAAGAAAGCGUAAUAGCUCACUGGUCGAGUCGGCCUGCGCGGAAGAUGUAACGGGGCUAAACCAUGUACCGAAGCUGCGGCAGCGACGCUUAUGCGUUGUUGGGUAGGGGAGCGUUCUGUAAGCCUGUGAAGGUGUGCUGUGAGGCAUGCUGGAGGUAUCAGAAGUGCGAAUGCUGACAUAAGUAACGAUAAAGCGGGUGAAAAGCCCGCUCGCCGGAAGACCAAGGGUUCCUGUCCAACGUUAAUCGGGGCAGGGUGAGUCGACCCCUAAGGCGAGGCCGAAAGGCGUAGUCGAUGGGAAACAGGUUAAUAUUCCUGUACUUGGUGUUACUGCGAAGGGGGGACGGAGAAGGCUAUGUUGGCCGGGCGACGGUUGUCCCGGUUUAAGCGUGUAGGCUGGUUUUCCAGGCAAAUCCGGAAAAUCAAGGCUGAGGCGUGAUGACGAGGCACUACGGUGCUGAAGCAACAAAUGCCCUGCUUCCAGGAAAAGCCUCUAAGCAUCAGGUAACAUCAAAUCGUACCCCAAACCGACACAGGUGGUCAGGUAGAGAAUACCAAGGCGCUUGAGAGAACUCGGGUGAAGGAACUAGGCAAAAUGGUGCCGUAACUUCGGGAGAAGGCACGCUGAUAUGUAGGUGAAGUCCCUCGCGGAUGGAGCUGAAAUCAGUCGAAGAUACCAGCUGGCUGCAACUGUUUAUUAAAAACACAGCACUGUGCAAACACGAAAGUGGACGUAUACGGUGUGACGCCUGCCCGG
rnacentral:rRNA from 1 species